rnacentral:rRNA from 1 species
UACGUAGGGGGCGAGCGUUGUUCGGAAUUACUGGGCGUAAAGCGCGUGUAGGCGGGUCUUUAAGUCAGGGGUGAAAUGCCAAGGCUCAACCUUGGAACUGCCUUUGAUACUGGAGACCUUGAGUCCGGGAGAGGUGAGUGGAAUUGCGAGUGUAGAGGUGAAAUUCGUAGAUAUUCGCAAGAACACCGGUGGCGAAGGCGGCCUGCUGGGCUAUGGCUGACACUGAGGCGCGACAGCGUGGGGAGCAAACAGG